rnacentral:tRNA from 1 species
UAAGACUUUAAGUUAAAAAAACUAUUAACCUUCAAAGUUGUAAAUAUCUAGACUAGAUAGGUCUUAG